GGGUUUGCUUCCUGGGGAGUGGGCUCAGCCUACUCCAGCUCCCCUCAGGCGAGCCUGGAGUAGAGGGCUGGACACCCUUCCCGCGGAAGAGGCAUUGAAGUAAAGAGCCUCACCUGGGCUGCCCUAGCCUCACAUUU